rnacentral:rRNA from 1 species
GAAUAUUGGUCAAUGGACGAAAGUCUGAACCAGCCAUGCCGCGUGCAGGAUGAAUGCCCUACGGGUUGUAAACUGCUUUUAUUUGGGAAGAAACCCCCCUACGUGUAGGGGGCUGACGGUACCAAAGGAAUAAGGACCGGCUAACUCCGUGCCAGCCGCCGCGGUAAUACGGAGGGUCCAAGCGUUAUCCGGAUUUAUUGGGUUUAAAGGGUGCGCAGGCGGAAUAUUAAGUCAGUGGUGAAAGCCCACAGCUCAACUGUGGAACUGCCAUUGAUACUGUUAUUCUUGAGUAUAGAUGGGGUAGGCGGAAUGUGUCAUGUAGCGGUGAAAUGCUUAGAUAUGACACAGAACACCAAUCGCGAAGGCAGCUUACCAAACUAUUACUGACGCUAAGGCACGAAAGCAUGGGGAGCGAACAGG